rnacentral:rRNA from 1 species
AACGAACGCUGGCGGCAGGCCUAACACAUGCAAGUCGAGCGAACCCUUCGGGGUUAGCGGCGGACGGGUUAGUAACGCGUGGGAAUAUACCCUUUGGUACGGAAUAGCCUCGGGAAACUGAGAGUAAUACCGUAUGUGCCCUUCGGGGGAAAGAUUUAUCGCCAAAGGAUUAGCCCGCGUUGGAUUAGAUAGUUGGUGGGGUAAUGGCCUACCAAGUCUACGAUCCAUAGCUGGUUUGAGAGGAUGAUCAGCAACACUGGGACUGAGACACGGCCCAGACUCCUACGGGAGGCAGCAGUGGGGAAUCUUAGACAAUGGGCGCAAGCCUGAUCUAGCCAUGCCGCGUGGACGAUGAAGGCCUUAGGGUUGUAAAGUCCUUUCAGAUGGGAAGAUAAUGACGGUACCAUCAGAAGAAGCCCCGGCUAACUCCGUGCCAGCAGCCGCGGUAAAGUAGACGU